GCCAACGGACAUACCAUGUUGGAAACACCGGUUCUCAUUCGAUCACCGAAGUUAAGAAACAUUGGGCGUGGUUAGUAUUUGAAUGGGUGACCGCGUGGGAACACCACGUGUUGUUGGCA